rnacentral:rRNA from 1 species
GUUGACUGUGUGCUGGUGGGCGGGGGAAGAGAGCGGGCGCAGGCGGUGGUCGGGGUUGCUGGGCGGAAAGGGUGCGGAGGGGGUGAGGGAAGUCGGAUGUGGAAUCUCCAAGCUCGACGUGGAAACGGCAUUGGAAACAGGCUUGCUAGGGGAUUGGAGGGGGGAUGUGAAUACUUGGUGGAGCAGUGAAAUGCGUAGAUAUCAAGUGGAACACCAGUGGCGAAGGCGAAUCCCUGGAAAAUACCUGACACUGAGGCACGAAAGCUAGGGGAGCAAACAGAAUUAGAUACCCGUGUAGUC